CAAAGAAAUGCAGGAGUUUUGUAUUCCAAAUAUUGCUUUUAACUAUAUGUUAUUUUUAAUAUAAAAAUAAUAUACGUUAACAGUGUUAAGUUUCUGUUAGUGAAGAAACACGUGUCAAAAUGUUAGUGGGGGGACAGAGUUGGGAUAGAAGAUUUGGGGACAGCUGAUUUCCUUCUGAAAUAUGAUUCAUAUGUGUGUUGAUUAAUUAUUAGAGAAUGAAUGGUGUAAUUAUUAAAAUACAUACUAAAAAUAAAAACCUCCUCACUUUAAGAGUUCAAGGACGUCCUCUCGAUCCUCCCUAUAUAUAUAUAUAUCAGUGUUCUAAAACUCGGCCGCCCAGGCCGUCUAGGCGCUGGGCGGCAGCUCUCCGAGUCGACUAAUGCCAAAUCGGCUCUGUUGGGCGGAUGUGGGUUUGACGGCCGCCUAGGCGGGCGACUGGGCGCCUGGGCGGGGGUAGUUGGGCACCCAGCGGCCUUUCUAGGCGGAUAUGCAGGUUGACGGCUCACGGAGGCGGAUAUAAAGGUUGUUUCAUGGAGGUUGACGACUUGCAGAGAGAGAAUGGAGGAGUCGACUCUGAUCAUGGAGGUUGUUUCAUGGAGGUCUACUGGACUUCGUUAUGGUUUCCGGUUCUUCAGCGUGGUUAUUGAUUGAAUAAUGAAAAAACUGAUGAAGAGAGAAGGUGGAGAUGGCGACUACUGGUAUCACAAAGGAGAGAGAGAGAGACCCGUGAAAAUGGAUGGGGUGGUUAAUUGUGGAGAGUAUAAUUGAUGACUUGGAGAGAGAAGAGGGAUAGGAUGGGCACGUGUGUAGGGCUGCAACAAGAAGCAUAAUUGCUGCUACUUUUGUCUGUUGGAUAAUUGAAUACAACUUCAGGUUUUUGUUUUUCAUGUAAACAGUGGCUUUUUGAAGAUUAACACCAAGGGUCAUGAUCAUUAAGACCAAGCUUCAGUUAAACAUGGAGAUACCUCUCCCAAACACUCCCACAACACAUGAACACUUCCUUAAAUAGCUCUCUGCUACCUCUAUUUAAUUAAAUAAAUAGUUAAUUAAAUAAAUAU